AGAGCGAACGCUGGCGGCAGGCCUAACACAUGCAAGUCGAGCGGUCGUAGCAAUACGGCAGCGGCAGACGGGAGAGUAACACGUGGGAACGCGCCCUUCGGUUCGGAAUAACUCAGGGAAACUUGGGCUAAUACCGGAUACGCCCUUACGGGGAAAGAUUUAUUGCCGAAGGAACGGCCCGCGUCCGAUUAGCUUGUUGGUGAGGUAACGGCUCACCAAGGCGACGAUCGGUAGCUGGUCUGAGAGGAUGACCAGCCUCACUGGGACUGAGACACGGCCCAGACUCCUACGGGAGGCAGCAGUGGGGAAUAUUGGACAAUGGCGCAAGCCUGAUCCAGCCAUGCCGCGUGAGUGAUGAAGGCCUUAGGGUUGUAAAGCUCUUUAGCAGGGAGAUAAUGACGGUACCUGCAGAAAAGCCCCGGCUAACUUCGCGCCAGCAGCCGC
rnacentral:rRNA from 1 species